rnacentral:rRNA from 1 species
ACGAAGGGUGCAAGCGUUACUCGGAAUUACUGGGCGUAAAGGGCGCGUAGGCGGCCUGCUAAGUCGAACGUGAAAUCCCUGGGCUCAACCCAGGAACUGCGUCCGAUACUGGUUGGCUUGAAUCCGGGAGAGGGAUGUGGAAUUCCAGGUGUAGCGGUGAAAUGCGUAGAUAUCUGGAGGAACACCGGUGGCGAAGGCGACAUCCUGGACCGGUAUUGACGCUGAGGCGCGAAAGCCAGGGGAGCAAACGGGA